GUUUUGCAAUGUCACAUCAUGAAGUGUGUUAGAGGGCUGUUGCGACACAGAGGGCAGUUUUAGGCAUUUCUGCUUCUUAUAAGUUAAACUAAUUUCUGAGUGAUGAAGUGUAAUGCGAUGGUGUUGUGGACUCAUUUGUUACUAUUGUAAAGUCCAAAUUCAUCCUCGUUACAAACCAUGAUGGCAGGAAUCCAGAUCAUUUCCUUCAUUUUCAUCAGCUCGGUGUUGUUACAUACUCAUUCAGCUGAUGAUAUCUACUUUGCCGUGAUGCCUCAGACAGUAACAGCUCUGACAGGAUCUUGUGUGCAGAUUCCUUGCACAUUCCAUAUCCCCAAUUUUGAGGACAAACGUAAUAACACACAAUCUGUUUAUGGGAUCUGGCUGAAAAAUAAAUCACAGUUUGCUGACAGAGAUGGCUUCAUAGCUUUUAAUAGCAGUGAAAACAUCAUUAGAGGAUUCAGUGACAUACAGAUAACUGGAGAUCUCAGUGAAAGGAACUGCACAACUGUCUUCUAUAACCUCAUGAAGAAUCAUUCAGAUUUAACCCUAAUCAACCUGAUUCAAGAAAGACUAUGAACAUCACUGUCAUAGUUACAGGAGAAACCUGAUAAAACCCAGUCAGUGUUUUCACACAUGACCUUCAAAGCUUCAUACAUGGAUCACAGAAUGAACAUCUCCUGCACUGCUACAUAUCCAAGAAAUACACCUGAUGACUCAACCGUGGAGACCACUGUGAUGCUACGAGUCCUGUUUCCUCCAAAAGAAACUCACAUCACCAUCGAUCCAUCUGCUUCAGUCUCUGUUGGCACUAAUGUGACUUUGACCUGCAAAAGCAAAGCCAAUCCAUCAAAUGACAUGAACUACACUUGGUACAAACAUGGAUAUGAGACGCCUAUAGCUCAUGGAAAGAAGAUUACCUUCAAUGCAACUCAAAAUAAUGCAUCAUGGUAUUCCUGCAUUGCACAGAAUAAACAUGGAAACCAGUCAUCAGCAGAGAUCCAGCUUACAGUUGAAGGAGAAAAAAAUUCAAUAAACCCAGUGUCAAUAAGAAGGAUCCUUCUGGUCAGGUUAAUAAAAUUUCUGAUGAUGAAACACUGAUCAUCUACUAUGAAAAGACUGACAUCCCAAAGCAGCAGAACUACUGCAUCACAGAGACAUACUCCAAACAUGAUGAAUACACAGAAAUAGAGUACAGAGUAUUUCAGGAUUUGUAGGCUCACUUAAAGGGUUAGUUCACCCAAAAAUGAAAAUAACGUCAUUUAUUACUCACCCUCAUGUCGUUCCACACCCGUAAGACCUUCAUUCAUCUUCGGAACACAAAUUAAGAUGUUUUUGAUUAAAUCCGAUGGCUCAGUGAGGCCUGCAUUCAAAGCAAUGACAUUUCCUCUCUCAAGAUCCAUAAAGGUACUAAAAACAUAUUUAAAACAGUUCAUGUGAGUUCAGUAGUUCUACCUUAAUAUUAUAAAGUGACGAGAAUACUUUUUGUGUGCCAAAAAAACAAAAUAACGGCUUUUCAACAAUAUAGUGAUAGGUUGAUUUCAAAACACUGCUUCAGAGCUUUAUGAAUCGAAUCAGUGACUCGGAUCUCCUAUCAAACGGCUGAAAUCACGUGACUUUGGCGCUCCAAAUCACUGAUUCGGUUCGCAAAGCUCCGAAGCAGUGUUUUGAAACCUAACUCUUACUCAAUUUAUUAUAUUUAGCAGACAGAAUAAGUCCUGUAUGUUAAAUUACACUGUAUCACCUGAAUCUGGGCAAAUUGAGUGCCAGUCACAGAGCGGGUCACAAUUAAUUAUUUGCGGUUUAAAACAUUAUCAUCCAACGUGAUGCCAAAUAGGUUUCCCAACUAAUGAUAAUCAGUAUUACAUAGUAUAAUAGUAUGAAUUUAUCCGACACACGUGUCCUGCUAAAUCACGUCUACUAUCCUGCAACAGAACAAUAAUGGCCACCCUACUUUACAAGGCAAAAAAAAAAAAAGAAGAAAAGCUUUAAACACAAGAGGGUAUUACUGGGUAUUUAUAUUUUUAUUUGUCAAGACAUUUAUACCAUAAUUAAUUUUAUGGUGCUGUUUUGUCCUUUUUGGAGCUCAACUUCCGUAUGUCAGAGUACACCAGGGGUCUCAAACUCAAAUUGGCUGGGGGCCAUUGCUGUGAUUGACUCCUCAUAGGAGGGCCAUUUUAACAUUCAGGCAUAAGAAAGCGCAAAAUUUCUGAAAAAUUACUUUCCUUUGCAUUAUUUCUCAUUUACUUCAAAUUUCAUUACUAAAAUAUUUUUGCCAUACUUAAAAAAUGUAAACAGCUGAUCAUAGCUGUAGAGGGCGGGUUUUUAUUUCUCAAAUCCAUAUAAAUAUAUCUAGUAGUAGAGCUAAUGCAAGGACUAGAAAUCAGUUUUUCUUUUGCUGAAACUUCCUAGUCAUCAUGGAGAGUGCAGCUUAUGGUUGCAUAGCAACGACAGACGCCACGGGAGCGAAAGCGCUUUGGAAAGAAGGAGAAAGCGGCGAAUAUGUGACGCGAUAUGUGAAUGGCCUCUUAGAACGGCAACCUUUUUUUUGCAUAUCAGACAGGUAGCAACUAGAGAAUAAUAAUAAUAAUAAUAAUAAUAAUAAUUUAGCGGGCCAGAUUAUGUUUUAUUUUUUAGAUCAGUUGCGGGACGGGUGGAGGGGCCUCAAAGUUUGAGACCACUGGAGUACACUGUUGUUGUAUGCAAGAGCAGCAUGAAAAAAAAAAAAAAAAACCUAAAAUAUUUAUUUAAAGAAAAAUAGUCUCACAGGUUUGGAAGAACAUGAAGAUUUGUAACAAAGAGGGUAAGACUUUUCAUAAUUUUCUUUUUUGGGUGAGCUGUGCCAUAGUAAUAUAUUACUAAUGUAUUUAAAAUAGUAGAAGAAAACGUGAAAAUAUCUUGAGCUUGUGUUAACCACUGACCUUAUUUCAAUUAAGAUGGAACAGGAAGUGCUAAAAUGCGAACUCAUUUCCGGGUUUUGGCACACAAAAAUAUGUCAUCCCUGCAACUCUCUAUGACGCAGACAUAAUGACAGCAGGGAUCACUCGUAUUUCAUUAAAUAAAUAAUAAAUAGUUACUUUUUGAAAUAUAGCUUACUUUCUGAAGUACAUAAUACACUGAAAAGUUUUGACAGUAUAUAUAUAUAUAUAUUACAGUAUAUUGUUGUCACUACUGCCUCCUGACUUCUAUAAAUGAAUUCAUUUCACUACUGAACUGCUACGUUAUAUUACUCUGCAAUAAGGUGGUAAUGCCACUGUUUUUUUAAAGUAAAAUCACAGCUUUAUUGUUAGUCGAGAGUUAUUUAUUGUUCGUUGUUGUCUCUCCCUCUCUCUCUCAAAAAAUAAUUCAAAUAAAUGAUAUAAUUCAAUCAAAUAAAUGUCAUCUUACUACUUUAUCUCUGUGUUUGAUUCAAAACAGGCAGAAUGCUAGCGAGUUAUACAGCUGGCAAAAAUAACCGUAAUUUUUAACCGUAAUUUUUAACCCUUUUGCUCAAAUAUUGAUAGUGUUGGCAAGUAUCCAUGGUAUAAGAGGGAUAAUCUAAGGCUAGGUUUGCAUUACACAAUUUUAAUGCACUUUGCAUCGGAGGUGGGGUUUGCUUCCAAGUCAUGCACUAAAAUCGAAUAAGGCACACCUAGCUGUGGAUUAUCCCUUGAAGGCUCUGUGUGUCUUCCUGUAAUUACAAGGGGCGGUCAAUAAUAUAUGACAUCACAUCACUAAAGCCAUAUUUAAACAGACUAGCAGAAAUUAGGCAACUUUAGAAACUUUAGGUUUCAGUUCUUUUUUCUUUUUCUUUUUUUCACACAAGAACAGCAUACGUGUCUCAUAAGCCAGCAUUCAGUCUUAAAAUGGUGUAAAUUUUGGGGUUUAAGUGUUCCAGUCUCGUGCACCAGUCACAAUGUGCACAGAAGCUCUUCUGCAUUCAAUAGAUGUGUUGUUGUUAGAAAGAAUGAAAAACAUUUAAGCACAGAAUGAACAAAGGUAGAUUCAUAAUAUCUCGUCCUGUAGUGCUGCUGGGAAACUGUCAAGAGAAUAUCACGUCACUAAGUGUUUAAUUUAUCUCACAUAGAGGAAGACAUCUUCAUUAACUUCUGCUUUUCUUUGACUGCACUGCUCUGAGAGCUCCAGUGAUGUCUGUGUUCCAGAUCACGUCCUUCAUCAACAUCAUCAUCAUCAGCUCUGUGUUUCUACACACUCAAUCAGCUGAUGAUAUCUACUUUGCCGUGAUGCCUCAGACAGUAACAGCUCUGACAGGAUCUUGUGUGCAGAUUCCUUGCACAUUCAACAUCUCCAAUUUUGAGGGCAAACGUAAUAACACACAAUCUGUUUAUGGGAUCUGGCUGAAAAAUAAAUCACAGUUUGCUGACAGAGAUGGCUUCAUAGCUUUUAAUAGCAGUGAAAACAUCAUUAGAGGAUUCAGUGACAUACAGAUAACUGGAAAUCUCAGUGAGAGAAACUGCACAACUGUCUUCUAUAACAUCAUGAAGAAUCAUUCAGAUAUCUACUACUUCAGACUGGAAAUGGAGCCAAAUGUGUUCAGAGCAACAUUUAUCACCAGUCAACAUGGUUCAAGAAAGAUUGUGAACAUUACUGUCAGAGAUUCACCACAACCUCCUGAACUUAAACCCAAUGAUCAACGCUCUGUGAUGGAGGAAACAACAGUCAAUCUGAACUGCUCUGCUGAAGCCCCCUGCCCCAAACAACCUCCUACAAUAUCCUGGUCCAACAUCCCUGAAUCUGCCAACAUUACAACACAGUUACAGGAGAAACCUGAUAAAACCCUGUCAGUGUUUUCACACAUGACCUUCAAAGCUUCAUACAUGGAUCACAGAAAGAACAUCUCCUGCACUGCUACAUAUCCAAGAAAUACACGUGAAGACUCAACUGUGGAGACCACCGUGAUGCUACAAGUCCUGUUUCCUCCUAAAGAAACUCACAUCAUCAUUACUCCAUCUGCUCCAGUCGCUAUUGAAACUAAUGUGACUUUAACCUGCAAAAGCAAAGCCAAUCCAUCAAAUGAAACGAGCUACACCUGGUACAAACGUGGACAGGAGAUGAAAAUAGCACAGGGAAUGAAGAUUAGCUUCAUCGUAACUCAUAAUAAUACAGGCUCAUACUUCUGCAUUGCAAAAAAUAAACAUGGAAACCAGUCAUCAGCAGAGAUCCAGCUCACAGUUGGAGGAGAGAGAGGAUUCUCUCGUGUGAUAUAUGGUUGUACAGGAGCACUUUUGGCCUUUGUUCUGUUGUCUGCAGUACUCUUUUUCUGUAUGAGAACAAAGACAUCAAGUCAGGCCCAUGUCAUAGGAAGAGAUCAGGCUACAGAUAAAAACAGUGACAUGGUGGCUAUCUAUGCUAACAGUUCCAUUGCAAACAGCAAGAAAAGUGAGAAGAAAGAAACUGAUGAUCUCCACUAUGGAGAGAUUGACUUCUCCAAACUCCAGACAGGCAACAUGACAAGGGAGCACUCAAACAAUGGCCCACAGACAGAGUAUGCAGAGAUUCAAGCGACAGGGAGAAACAACAAGAAAAUUAUUGAGCAAAUGGACAAACAAAUCUAAUCUCUUGUCUAAAUAGUGAAAAAAUAGAUAUGUAAAUAAUAAUGAAACUUCAUUGUACUUAAUAGAAAAAAAGCUGAACUCAAAAUUUGAUUGUAGUAAGCUAAACUUAAAAUGAUUGAGUUGCAGCAGAUUUCUAAAUUACAGCAUGCUUUGCGUUAGACUGUAUAAGGAAACUAAAUGUUGAAAUUAAGUGUUAUUUUGUUUGUUUUAGCACAAGAUUAACAUAGAGAGACUUAAGUUAGUGUUUAAUGUUGUGUUAUGUUCGUUUUAAGGGUUAAAUUGUGGUGAAGAGUAGAGCCUGUGGUUAGGUUGAGGAUGGGCUGCAAAACUUUUAAGACCAUAUAUACUAUAUGUUGUUUGAUUAUAUACAUGCAAGUAUAUAAUGACAGUCUCACUGAUAGUUUUAAUAGCAUGUGCUAUUUGCUAUCUAACAUUUAACCAAGAUCUGAAUGUGAUGUUUAUGUAAAUGAACUGUAUGUAAUUAACAUUAUGAUGAGUGGGGCGAGGCUGAGAUCUAUGGGAGCGAAGGGAGGCCGGUGACACACCGAGAGGCCGAGAGACACCUGUGCACCACAAUGUCCUUGCUCUGCUUCAAAUUAUUUCCAAGCAAUGACCCCUGGACUUUUGGUUGACUGUUAUACUCACCUGAAGAGCAAUGUAGGACGUUGCCAUUUUGUUUGUCCUUCGAGGAGGCUUCUUCUCUCAAAGCUCUUUGUACAAUUGUACAAAUUGCUGUGAAGAACUAGUCACAAAUGUUUGGAAAAGGGAUCAAGCCUCAGUCAGAACAAGCUGAUAACUGACAGCUUUGCUUCUUUUAUAGGCUCUGAACGUUCUAAAAAUCUAAUGACGUCACAGUACCAUCACUUGACAUCCAGUGUUGCAUUCCUUAACAGCAAAACACAAUUAGGGUUUUACUCUUGUUGUUUUUGUUGUUGUUGUUGUUUAAAUCCUCCUUCACAAUAUGGGACAAAAGAUUCAUUUUGCUAGUAUAAAAAUGAUAUAGCCUAACUUAAAAAUGAAUAAUUCCGGUCUUUGAUGCUAUAUGCUCAAUAACAGUUAUUUACUAUGAAGCCUAUACUAUAAAAAUUUUUUACUAUAAAACAAAUUUGGUUGUAAAAUGGCAGCAGGUGUUGCGGUAAUGAGAAAAUCAGUCAAAAUCAAAUAAAAAUGUUAAUUUAAAAAUAUAUAUUAUUUCAGAGUUUCAUGUAACUGUGCAUGACUGUUAAUCAAUUUUAAAAAAUGAGAAAAUGUAUUCGCUUUCCUAAUGGUAUUGACAUUUGCAGACUGUAUGAGGUAAUGAGAUUUUUAAGGACUUGUUUUGGAAAAUGAUCACAAACACUUCAGACCUUGCUCUUAAUGUCUAAAAAAGAAAUCUGUUGAUACAGACAUUUAAAAAAAAAAAAAAAAAAAGUUUUUGUGAGAAUCACCCAUCUGGAGAGUGAUGGAGAGACGGCAUUAUCGUUAACAGUGUGGUCUGCUGAAAUGUACAGGUAACUGGAGAGAUGGUUACUGAGUGAAUUGACAAUGUUCCUAAAUACGAUUCAUAACAUUAACAUUUCUGUUAACUGGAUUAAUUUCAGUAUGGCUAAUGUACCUCUUCAACAUGUUCUUAAAACUUUCAUGCCAAUAAAGAUAAAUGUAUUAUU